UAACUUUCAUUUCAAAAAAUCUAAUUUUUAUUUUAAAGACUGUAAAAUUUUUCUAAACAGUGUAAUGCUUUUAUGAGACAGUGCAGCUUUAUUUUAACGACAUAAUAUUUAUCUUUUUUUCUUUCUUCUAUAAUUCUUGAUUUUUUUCUGUAACAGUGACUAUAUAUAAUGACCUCUCAAGGAGAAUUUUUUUUUUUUACUUUUUUUUUCUUUUUCUUUUUUUUCUAUCCUUUACAUCUUUUUCUACUCCUU
rnacentral:lncRNA from 1 species